rnacentral:tRNA from 1 species
UCCCUGGUGGCUUAGACGGUAAAGAAUCUGUCUGUAGUUCAGGAGACCUGGGUUCAAUCCCUGGUUCGGGAA